rnacentral:rRNA from 1 species
UACGUAGGGUGCGAGCGUUGUCCGGAAUUACUGGGCGUAAAGAGCUCGUAGGUGGUUUGUCGCGUUGUCCGUGAAAACUCACAACUCAAUUGUGGGCGUGCGGGCGAUACGGGCAGACUGGAGUACUGCAGGGGAGACUGGAAUUCCUGGUGUAGCGGUGGAAUGCGCAGAUAUCAGGAGGAACACCGGUGGCGAAGGCGGGUCUCUGGGCAGUAACUGACGCUGAGGAGCGAAAGCCAGGGGAGCGAACGGGG